UACGGAGGGGGCUAGCGUUGUUCGGAAUUACUGGGCGUAAAGCGCACGUAGGCGGCGAUUUAAGUCAGAGGUGAAAGCCCGGGGCUCAACCCCGGAACUGCCUUUGAGACUGGAUUGCUUGAAUCCGGGAGAGGUGAGUGGAAUUCCGAGUGUAGAGGUGAAAUUCGUAGAUAUUCGGAAGAACACCAGUGGCGAAGGCGGCUCACUGGACCGGCAUUGACGCUGAGGUGCGAAAGCGUGGGGGAGCAAAA
rnacentral:rRNA from 1 species